rnacentral:rRNA from 1 species
AUUGAACGCUGGCGGCAGGCCUAACACAUGCAAGUCGAACGAGUGGCGGACGGGUGAGUACUGUCUGGGAAACUGCCCGAUGGAGGGGGAUAACUACUGGCAACGGUAGCUAAUACCGCAUACCAUCGGAUGUGCCCAGAUGGGAUUAGCUAGUAGGUGGGGUAACGGCUCACCGAGGCGACGAUCCCUAGCUGGUCUGAGAGGAUGACCAGCCACACGGGAACUGAGACACGGUCCAGACGCCAAAGGGAGGCAGCAGUGGGGAAUAGUGGACAAUGGGCGCAAGCCAGAUGGAGCCAUGCCGCGUGGGUGAAGAAGGCCUUCGGGUUGUAAAGUACUUUCAGCGAGGAGGCGUUACUCGAAGAAGAAGCACCAGCUAACUCCGUGCAAGCAGCCGCGGUAAUAC